AGGCUACUAGCUCUUAAAGUCCUUUCAAGGAGUUCCAAGUUGCCCUGAGACUCACUCAUUUUCCUCAAUAAAUGCCAUCAGGCAAUCACUGGUACAAUUUAUUUUGCUAAAAUUUUAUUUUGUUAAAAAUAUUUGGAGAUUUGGAUAUACGUAUAAAAUUGGAACAGCGAGAUUCAGAUUUAUUUUUUAUUACACCUUAUCACCACUUUUCUAAAUAUAUAAUUAAGCAUAAAAUCUAAAAAAUGCUUUCCUACUGUGUAGUUGUUUUUUAUUAGCCUAUACAUAAUUAUUAUUUUAACAGCUCUUCCCAUUAUAGCUCUUGACCAACAAAUGAUCUUUUUGAUAUAAAUUUCGGUAUUUGUUAUACUGAACCUAACUAAUAUUUGGAACUUAAAUCAGCACGUUUAUAGUUUGCUGUUAAAUAUCAUCUUCUUUGGCAAUUCUAUAUUAGAGAGAUCUGUUUGCAUAUUGACUCUGUAUUCCAAAAUAUAUUUUUGCAACAGAAGGCUAAAAAGCAAGAAAUCAACUAUGAACUUCAUCACAAAUACUGGCUUUCAUCAUGAGUUAUUGAAUACUUUGAUCCUAUGACUUUGCAUAGAGGUAAUUCUUAGGUAGCUAGGAAUUUUUGGUCGCCUACUCAAAUUCACAUGGAUAUUCUACGUGCAACUUAAAUUAAACCUUAUCAAAAUUUAACUUUUUCCUCCCAUUUUUUUCCCAGUUUUUUCUCCCAAACUUUCUCUUUCCUUGUAUUACCUAUUUGGCUGUCAACAAUAUCAACAACUUAAAUUAAACCUUAUCAAAAUUUAACUUUUGCCUCCCAGUUUUUUCCCAGUUUUUCCUCCCGAACUUUCUUUCUCUUUCCUUGUAUUACCUAUUUGGCUGUCAGCAAUAUCAUUCACAUUUCUCAAUGACUCUUGAAUGUACAUUUUCCUGUAUGUGUCCAGUUUGACCCCAAUCCUGGCAAUUACUUUUCAUUACUAAAUGCACUAUACUCUCUUCAGCUUUAUGCUUUUUUCCCCCAACACUGAUUCAUUCAUUUAAUAAGCAUCUAUUGAAUCUGUAAGCCAUGUCAAACAUGGUUGUACAUGUUCAGGAUACUCCAGGCAAUAAAGCAAAAUAGUGGAACUUACUACAUUCCAGAAGGAUGAGACAGAUAAUUAAAUAUUAAUAUAAUUAAUAAGUAAAUUGUAUGUUAGAAGAUGACUUUUUCCCCUCCCUCCAAAGAAAGAAAGAAAGAAAGAAAGAAAGAAAGAAAGAAAGAAAGACAACACAGCAGGCCCCUCUGGGAAUUGGGUAGCCAAAUAUGUAUUUAAUAAACAUUUAUUAUAUUAGUGGUUGACUGAAUGAAUAGUCCUUUAAAUUCCAGUUUGUCUGGUGUUCAAUGUCCUGGAAGACAUGAGUUAUACAUAAAUAGGACUUAGUUCAUCUGUUUGUUUGCUCUGGUUGUCUAAAGACUUAUUUUGCUUUGUUGUCUGUUUACUUCUCUGUCUUUGGUAGAAUAAAUGGGUGAGGGCUCCUAAGAUGCUGACAGUUUAACAUAACAA
rnacentral:lncRNA from 1 species